UCUUCAUGUUUCUGUGUAUUAAGGAGUAAAGCAUCACAUCUAUGUUUCAUUAAGGCGAUUAAGCUAUCUGUACUUCAAAGAGUUGUAGUGGUGAGAAUAAGCUUUUUUCAGUCAGCUUGAAGAGUAAACUGCUUGGCUUGUUUGUUUUUGUAAGCUGAAAAGUAAGGUUAUAUAGUUGAGAUUAAGCUUUUUUCAGUCAGCUUGAAGAGUAAACUGCUUGGCUUGUUUGUUUUUGUAAGCUGAAAAGUAAGGUUAUAUAGUUGAGAUUAAGCUUUUUUCAGUCAGCUUGAAGAGUAAACUGCGUGGCUUGUUUGUUUUUGUAAGCUGAAAAAUAAGGUUAUAUAGUUGAGAUUAAGCUUUUUUUCAGUCAGCUUGAAGAGUAAAAAGUGUACUGCUUGGAUUGUUUGUUUUUGUAAGCUGAAAAAGUAAGGUUAGAUAGUUGAGAAUCACCCUUUUUCAGUCAAUUUGAAGAGUAAAAAGUGUACUGCUUGGCUUGUUUGUUUUGUAAGCUGAAAAAGUAAGGUUAUAUAGUUAAGAUUAAGCUUUUUUUCAUUCAAUUUGAAAAGGAAGAAGUGUACUGCUUGGCGUGUUUAUUAUCAGCCUAUCAUGGUCAGCCUUAUGUGUGUGUAGUCUCAUUUGUGUGUACAUUUAUCAUCCAUUUAAAUUUUGGCAUUCUUUGGUAUUUUUACACUCGUCUUUAUAUAUCUCCUGUCUCAGUUGGUAUGAGGGGCAUCCAUAUAACAGAUUUUUGUGAGGGAGGUGAUAAAGAUGUCUAUGGCUGGGGUGACAGACUGGGCAUCCAUAUAACAGAUUUUUGCGAGGGAGGUGAUAAAGAUGUCUAUGGCUGGGGUGACAGACUGGGCAUCCAUAUAACAGAUUUUUGCGAGGGAGGUGAUAAAGAUGUCUAUGGCUGGGGUGACAGACUGGGCAUCCAUAUAACAGAUUUUUGCGAGGGAGGUGAUAAAGAUGUCUAUGGCUGGGGUGACAGACUGGGCAUCCAUAUAACAGAUUUUUGCGAGGGAGGUGAUAAAGAUGUCUAUGGCUGGGGUGACAGACUGGGCAUCCAUAUAACAGAUUUUUGCGAGGGAGGUGAUAAAGACGUCAGUGGCUGGGGUGACAGACUGGGCAUCCAUAUAACAGAUUUUUGCCAUGAGCACUCACUACUCACUCAAACACUCACCAGGACAGUUACAGAAUAGUCGCAUGCUUUUCUUUAGACUACAUUCAUCUAUUUUUUUGAAGGGUGGUGGAAAUCUGGAUCACUUAUGACGAUAGAAAAUUUAGGAUCAUAAUGUGACUUUAUGUAUUGAUGUCAAAAUAGUGAUAAGAUUGUCAGAGUCAUGUGUUUCCAGUGUUGCUUUGUUCAUAAAUAUUGCAUGUAACCAGACACCGAGGGAAAAAAUGCAUUUCAUCAUCUGUACUCAGUUUUACAUCAGAGCAACCUAAUUGAGAUUAUAUUUUUGAUUUUCUACUAUUAACCCGGUAGCUGCGGGGAUCAUGUUUCUUAAAGGUCCCUCAAAGUGAGAAAAAUGAGAAAAAAAUCAUCAAUCACGUAAACUGUUUCGUAAUAUAUAUAAACGCAUUUGUUAUCAGUUUAUGCAUCAUCUAUUUUUUUGGGUUUAUAUCAUGGCAAAAAUUUGGCCUGUCGCUUGUACACCGUAAAGCCACAAAUUUGUCCCGUCGCUGCUACCGGGUUAAAUCUUUCUCCCAGGAACUUUUUAUAUUGAAUCUGUUUAGAAAAAAAAUGUUAACGCUGAUUAGUGCUUGCAAGGUUCGUUUUUCCAUUUCCCCCUCAUCAGUUGGUACAGGGCAUAGGUAGAACCAUUCCCUUCCCCAUCCAAAGACAUAAUGCUGUACCCCUUUCCAUGGUUAAUCUCCUGAGGUCUUACAAGCCUUCAUUUCCCCUGUUUUCGUGACCCAGUACUAUCAAUUUUAUAUUUUUUACCCUCCACAGAUACAUCAUUGCAGACAAAUUAUUGUAGACAUGUUAUAGCACACUUAUUCCCUAGGUAACAUUAAAGGCCUAAGUUACUUGCUGAGAGAACUAACACUC